rnacentral:rRNA from 3 species
AAAUUGAAGAGUUUGAUCAUGGCUCAGAUUGAACGCUGGCGGCAGGCCUAACACAUGCAAGUCGAACGGUAACAGGAAGCAGCUUGCUGCUUUGCUGACGAGUGGCGGACGGGUGAGUAAUGUCUGGGAAACUGCCUGAUGGAGGGGGAUAACUACUGGAAACGGUGGCUAAUACCGCAUAACGUCGCAAGACCAAAGAGGGGGACCUUCGGGCCUCUUGCCAUCAGAUGUGCCCAGAUGGGAUUAGCUUGUUGAUGAGGUAACGGCUCACCAAGGCGACGAUCCCUAGCUGGUCUGAGAGGAUGACCAGCCACACUGGAACUGAGACACGGUCCAGACUCCUACGGGAGGCAGCAGUGGGGAAUAUUGCACAAUGGGCGCAAGCCUGAUGCAGCCAUGCCGCGUGUAUGAAGAAGGCCUUCGGGUUGUAAAGUACUUUCAGCGGGGAGGAAGGUGUUG